GCGCGGCGGAGCUGGUCGCUGAGCCGCGGGCCGGGGGAGCGGCCGGUCGGGGCGCGGGAAGCCCGGGAAGAUUCCGGUCUGGUCACGUUGGAGACUGGUCAUUUUCUAGAGGGAAAGGAGAAGCCCAUGAAAGGAUGGUGAAUUCUCUUUGAGUUUCAGUUGCCAGAAUAAAAGAAAGUCCAAGCAUCAAACAGAUAAACUUGAAGACACUGAAAGCUAAGAUACCAUGAUUCCGAAGCCAGUCCACCCCGAAGUCAUGGUUUAACUAUUGCAUUAAGGUCCUUGCGCUUGAGCAACAGGCGGUGAAACCACUGAGCUAAAUCCCCGGCCCCACUGCAGGAACUUGCACAAGACACGUAACCUCUCUGUCUGCCAAUCUCCACACCUGGGACAGUGAUAAAGUGUCUGCCGGGAAGAUAUUUACGUUGUGAGGCCCGACAUUACAAAUGCACAUUGGCAAAUGCUAGACUGUGCAAGUGUCGUCAGCAUCGGUGCCCAUAAUAAUAAUGGCGGAGUGCUUUGAAGGUUGCACGGCUGGUGAACUGGGGAAGGCACAGUGGCGAGUGGGGACUUGCGAACAAGAUGGUCCAGGAGUGUCCUGAAGUGGAGACCUUGUCAGUGAGAAAUAGCCUGUGAGGUGGGACAAGAAUAGCAUCCGGAGGAAACACAAGUGCCACCGGCGUGUCUUAAGCAGAAAAGGCACGUGACAAAAUCCAGUACUUCAUCAUGUUAAAAAAAUAUCUGACAGCCUGGGGCUAGAAGGGAACUUCCUCACCCGGAAGGAACAUCUACGAAAAACCCGCUGCUCUAGCACGCUGAAUGGUAGGGCUGAAAGUUUCCCCUAAGUCCAGGAGCAAGGAUGUUCCCUCUUAGCAAUGCUGCUCAGUAUUUGUGAUGGUUAAUAUUAAAUGUCCACUGGACCAGAUUAAAGGACAGCCAGGGAGCAGCUAACGCAUCCUUCCGGGUGGGUGCCAGUGUUUAUGGUGUGGGAGCCGUUGCCCUGAGGGAAAGAUCUCCCCUUUGUGUGGAUGGAGGCCGCCAGCCAGCCUGGGCCUGAGACGGAGCAAAAAGACAGCAGAGAAGCCUGACUUGCUCUUUCUCCUGGAGCGGGGACACAUAUCUUUCUGUUUUCAGACAUUGGAAUCCCAGGUUCUCUGGUCUUGGACUCUAGGACCACAUCCCUGGUCCCCUGGGCCCCCAGACUUUCUCCCUACUUAGACUGAGUUACGCCACCAGCUUCCCUGGCUUUGAGACAUUUGAAUUUGGCCUGAGCUAAGCCACAGGCAUCCCUGGGUCUUCAACUGGCAAAUGCCAUGUUAUAGGGCUUACCCACCACCGUGAGAGCCAGCUCACCUAAGUCGCCUCUCCCAGGUGCCCUCUAGUUAUCUGGUUCUUUCUCUCUAGAAAACUCCAACAGUCUUCCUCACAACUAACGGGAUUAGAAAACUAAUAUGGAAUUGUGCUGGAGGGUCUAGCCAGGGCUGUUAUGCAAGAAAAUGAAGUAAGAGGCUUCGAGACCAGAAAAGACAACACUCUCUAUUUACAGGUAGCACAUUAUUUGUAGGACAUCCUUAGGAAUCUACUAAACUGUUAGAACUAAUAAGCUCAGCAAGGUUGCAGAAUAUAAGAUGUAUUGAUGUACAAACGUCAAUUGUCUUUCUAUAUACUUGCAAUGAGUAAUCUAAAAUGAAACUAAGAAAAUAAUCUGUUUGAUAAUAAAGAAGAGUAAAAUAUUUAGGAAAAAAUUAACAAAGGAAGUAUGAAACAUGUACCCUUAAAAACUGUAAAAUCAUCAUUGAAAUGGAUUAAGGGAAACCCAAUGAAUUGGAAGGCUUAGUAUUGUUAAAAUGGUAAUGCUCACUGAGUUGGUAACAUAGAGUCAAUGCAAUUUUUAUCACAGCUUCAGAUGGAUUCUUUACAGACAUUGACAAACUGACCCUGAAAUUAAUAUGAAAAUUCAAGGCAUCCUGAAUAGGCAUGACAGUCUUGAAAAAGAACAAAAUAGGGGGGUUCACUUCCUGAUUUCACACUUUCCACAGAAUUGCAGUAAUCAAUUCAGCAUGGCACUGGCAUAGGCAUGGAGGCCUAUACACACGGGGUAGAGCUGAGAGUCUGAAAAUAAACUCAUACAUUUUUGGUGGUGAUUUUGGACAUAUGCGCCAACAUAAUUCAGUGGGGAAAGAAUACUCUCUUCAAUGACUGGUGCUUGGACAAAUGAAUAUUCAUGUGCACAGGAAUGAAGUUGGACCCCUACCUCACACUAUACAAAUAUUAACUCGGAAUAUACUGACAAAGGUCUACAACUUUAAAACUCGUAGAAGAAAACAUUGGCAUAAAUUCAAUGACCUUGGAUUGGGUAUAAUUUUUUAGAUAUGUCACCAAAAGCAAACGUGAAAAAAGAAAGAAUAAAAUGAACUUCAUCAAAGUUAAAAACUUUCAGUUAUAAAAGGUCAGUAUCAAGAAAGUACAAAGACAACCCACGAAAGAGUUUAAAGUCAUAUGAGAUAAGACAAUGUAUAUAGAAUAUAUAAAGAACUCUCAUGACUCAGUAAUAAAAAGGCAACCCAAUCUAAAAUGGGCAAAGGAUUUGAAUAGAUAUUUCUCCAAAGAAGAUACACUAUGGCCAGUAAGCACAUGAUUCAGUAAACAUAAAGGAAAUGCAAAUCAUAGCACAACAAGAUAUCACUUUCUACCCUCUGUGAAAGAGGGCAUAACAAAUGUUGGUGAGGCGGUGGAUAAAUGGGAACUCUUACAUACUGCUGAUGGGAAUGCAAAAUGCUUCCAGUGCACUUGCUUUGGAAGACAGCAUGGCAGUUUCUCAAACAGAUAUACUUAGAGUUACUCCUUACAACUCAGUGUGUAAAUCCCCAGGUAUAUAUUCAAGAGAAAUAAAAACAUACACAAGAACACUAAUGUUUAUAGCAGCGCUAUUUAUAAUACCUAAAAAUGGAAAUAGCCCAAAUGUCUGUCAACUGAUGAAUGAAUAAAUAAAAUAUGGUAUAUUCAUAUGGCAAAAUACUAUUUGGCUAUAAAAGGAAAGGAAUACUAAUACAUGGUGUAACGUGGAUUAACCUUGAAAGCAUGUCACCCGAAAGAAGCCAGAUACAAAAGGACAUAGUAGGGUUCCAAUUAUGUGAACUCUCCAGGUGGGUGGCGUAGCUUAGUGGGAAAGUGCUUGCCUAGCAUACGCGAGUCCAUGGCUUCCAUCCCCGAACUAAAAAGGGAAAGAAAAACAAACAGGCACAAAUGUCCAGAACAGACAAAUCUACAGAGACAGAAGGUAGAUUAAUGCUUGACUACAGCUGGGAGUGUCUUAUGGGGAAUCAGGAGUGACUGCUAAUCGGUUUGUGGUUUCUUUGGGGUGUGAUGAAAACGUCUAAAAUUGAUUUGGUAAUGGUCACACAACUCUGUGAAUAUACUAAAACCUAUUGAAUCACACUUGACAUUGGCAGAUGGAAUGCUAUGUGAGUUAUAUUUCAAUAAAGCAGUUGUGUAUAUUUAAAAAGCAUUUCUUAGAACUUUAACGGUCAGAACUUGGCAAUAGAUGAGAUUUAAGGAAUAAGGACUAGGGAAGAAUCAAGAAUGACUCCUUAAUUUUGACCUUGGGUGACUACUGAGAAGGAGAGAAAAGACAGAGAGGAGUGUUUGUCUUGUUUUUCUGUUGUUUUGAUGAGGGCCAGCUUUGAGAAUCAAGAUUCUGUUUAGAAAUAUUAUGUUUAAGGUCCCUGUAAAAGAUUCCAGACAGAUGUUAGGCAGACACUUGGAAGUGAGUCUGAAGCUCCAAGGAGCAAUCCAGACUGGAAAUAUAAUUUGGAUGGUAGGUAGAUGCAUAAGGACAGAUGGAGAGGGCCAGGGAGUGUGUGUGAGAGUGUGUGUGUGUGUGUGUGUGUGUCUCUCAGGGUAAGGGGAAUGAGGGAGGACCACAACCUAGAUAUACCCAGGUGGUAUAACUGUCCAGGGAGGAGGAAAAGGUCGGCAGAGGGGGGCCCUGAACUCAGGUGGCCGACAAGAGGGGGCUUCCAUAGGCAGGCCGUCCAGAGAGCCCCAGGAGGAGGCCGGAGGUGGCCAGGGGUCCUUUGGCCAAGUGGAGGUUGUGCAGUACCUCCUAAGAGUAGUUCGGCUCACCAGAGAGGGCCAGAGAGGGAACAUGGAGUACAGAAUUGGAGAGUUAAGCAGCUGUGUCUAGAAGUUCUGCUGCAGUCACUCUGGAGCAGCUCUGCUCUGAGAUGGAGAUUGUUUUCCAUUCCGGGGAGACACUCCACAGGAGUGCUGUUGGGUUUGGAGGUCGCCCUUUCUUUCUUGGGGCCGGUGGUCCAGAAUGAUCCUGCCCAGGGCAGCUUCUGCAAGCCAUAGUACCAGGGCAGGGCCUAUAGGGGGGCGUUGCCCAGCCGCGUCCUGGGAACAGUGUAUUCUGUGCUUUGUUCUCUGAUGGCUUUGAUUUUGUUUUUGUUUUGUGCUGGGGAUGGACCCAGGCCCUUGCACAUGCUAAGCACAUGCCCUACCAUGGAGCCCCAGCCCAGCCAUGUUGUUAUUUUGAUUUGGAGAAAACUGAAAGUAGGAUUUUACCAAUGUGCUUUUUCACGGUUUAAGUAGGAUUGCCUACAAGUCUUCAUUUGAAAUCAGAAUAAAGGGAAAGCUGGGCCUUGCUCUCAGAUGCAGUGAGGGCCUUUAGCAAGCACACCCGACUGUACAUAACUUGCCGCUCCUGAGAUGUUAGUAGGACCCUGUUUUUGGACCACUGAGACUCCAGCAGGUCCUGAGUGAGGUGGAGGGAACACACACACACACACACACACACACACACACACACACACCCGCAGUGGAGGCAUAUGCUUUUAGAAACCUCCAGUGCGCUGACCGUAGUUCUUAGCACUGCCCUCCCUGGGCUGCUUUACUAAUGCAGAUGUGAAGACAGCUUUCCAAGGUCCCUGGUCUUCAAGCAGCACCCAGCCUCCCUCCCAUGAGGACGCACUGGGGAAUGGAGGAGUGCUUGGGUUAGAAAGCCCAUUUUUCUGCUGUUUUCAGCAGACAUUGGGGUUUGAACACGUGACCCAGAUGGCUCAUUUUGGAUGAGUCUAAGUAAUGGUUAUUUUUUAUUUUACAAGAUGCGUGUGUGAGAGUGUUUUGGUGAGUCAGAUCUUUAGUCAUAUCUGAGUGCUGCUUGCUAAAAUUUCUGUUAUAUAGAAUACAGAUGAUUUAUCAUAAAACAAUAUUUUGAAAAUCCACUUUUUUCUGGCUGUUUUGACAUUUUCUUUAUUUCUCUAAACUUGGGUAAAGGCUCCAGGUGUAAGGGUUUUGUGUGUGUGUGUGUGUGUGUGUGUGUGUGUUUAAACAUGUGAUGUCAUUGUUGUUUGGUUACGUUUUAUUGUAUAUGUAGGAGGUAUGUAUUGAGGUUUUUUUACAAAGAAUUUUUCAGUAUUUCUUUAAAAACCUUCUGCAAUAGCAUCUUCAUAUGUUCUACAGCACAGAUCCUGUAGGCUCUUAGGAAUUCUCAUGGAAACAUCCCAUUAGUAGUGUGUGCACAGCUCCAUCACAGGUCAGGCUAAGGCCGAGUCACUGGCUUUAGGGCACUGUCUUGCAGCGGUCCUGCGCCUGCACUAACUUCAAACCACUUCCAAUUGCUGGAAAGUCACAGUGGUUAUCUGGGAGGAUCCAUUUGAACUUCAACCUGUUGUCUUGGCUCCAGGCCCAUGCUAAAGGACACUUUUGAUUUCUUGAUUUUAAAAGAGCAGAAGAAAGUGGUCUCGGAGAGAAAAGGUUUGAUGACCACUCCAGAGAGGCUGGCAGCCGGCCCCACCAUGACCAGGGCUGGGCCAUGUCAGUUCCGUCUUCCGAUUGUGUUCAGAGAAUCAGGCGGGAAGGGCAGGUGCUGCAGAUCUGCCUCAAGGAGCUUGCAGUCCACUUCGUCCUGCCUCAGAGGCAUCUGUGUAAGUUGCUCUAUUUCUCAGAAACCUCUUGUUUGUCUCGGGCGGUGGCCAGGCCUCGCAUGCGCUGUGUGUGCUGUGUCGCAGACCACAGGCCUGUGCCUGAGCGUUGUUUUGUCUGUGGGCAGACGCAUAUGUGUGCAGCAUGCAGCAUCUGGCAGCGGGGCUGCUGGGGCCAGGUACACAGCCCUGGGCAGGUGGCUGAGGUGUGGGAACUGCUGACAAGAGAGCAGAACAGGAGAGGCCAGGUAAGGUGCCUGUGGAUUUUCUAAAACAGCUCCGUUGGCUGCUUUUUGAAUACUAGUUAGCAUUUAGUGGGCUGGUGGCUCAUUCUGUUGUCCCCUGUUUUUAUUUCCUGGCAAUGCUUUUUAGGUGUUGCUAAUGAAUUAGCCUAAAGCGGUUUAAUGAACAUGUCGUUAAUUUAGGUUUGUAAAUAAAGAUAUGCAUUUUUUUUAACUGCUGUCUCCUAUGGAAAAAAGCAAGAGUAUCUAACUUUCCAAAGAGGAAAAACAAAGUAACAUAUGGUCACAUGAAGAGUCCCUUUGUGAUCUUUUGUUGAGUGGAGUUUAAUCUGCAGGCUUAAUUUAAAAUAAAAUUUACAGGGCAACAGGAAAGAGAAACCAUGGAAGACUCUAACUACACCUUUGUAUGUCUGUGCUCCUCACCUGUGCCCUUCCUCUUUCUACACGCACACGCACACACACGCAAGCACACACAUGCACACACACGCACAUGCAUGUGCCCCGAGCUGCAUGUGCAUGAAAAAUAGGUAGAAAAAGCUAUGAAGGCCAAACAGAAAGUACAGUUUAGUAGUAAGAGGUUGAAUAUAAGAUGGAACAAGUCCUAAUUUUUUAUUUCACUUUCAUUUGGAUACAUUUACUAAUUCUCUUUGCUGGGCUUAAGACUUCUCAAACAUUCUUUGGCCCUGGGAGGGAGUUGUAUAACCAUAAAACUUGAGAAUCCUGGCCCUGGGAUAAAUGUUCCUUUUAAAACCCCAAGGACAGAAAAUUGAAUACAGCUGUGCAAAAAACCCCAAGGUGGCGUGAUGUUUCGGGGCAGCCGGCACCCUGUGCAGCUUUCCAGCUCAUCCGGGCCGGGUUCGUGGAGACAGACAGGGAGCACUGCCCUUUCCAAAGGCUUCGGGGAAGGGUCGCGCUUCCUUCAGAAGCGUGUGUUUCUGGAUGUGGUUACCAGACCACUCUUUCUGGGGUGCUGUCCAUCAUCUCUGCAUACUAUACAGUUUCUCCUGCAGGGAACCGGCAUUUCUAGGUCGUCCUCUAAGAUGCUGUGGUUCCCCAAACCGCACCUUUCCUACUGAGGGGUCUUGGAGCUUAAGCCUUUGUACCAGAGUCAGAACAGAGACGCGAAUCCCCUCCUCUGCCUCCCCCAGCGAUGUCGUUUUCUCCUGAGAACAUGGCUUUGCUCCUUGCCCCUCCCCUGGAAUGGAAACCAGGAUGUUGCUUCUCUGACGUUGCCUGGUGGGUUGCACUGCUUGGUCUGCAGCCCAGGGGAGCCAUCACUGGGAACUAACCCCUGUCCAGCCUGGCAUUAAUUACUGUAAUCUCUGUCAGAUGUGUAAUGAUGAUUCAUACUUCUUCCUCUACAAGAUUAGAUUACUGUAGUUUUCAUAUCCUGGACUUCCCACUAGGGAUUUAGAUUAAUACUUGUUGGUACAGAAAACAGUCUUGUGUUUCUAAGGAGAAAGGGCUGCACUUGCCCCCUUGGUCAUCAUCAGAGAACAUGAGGGAGGCCCUGCCUCAAGGCAGUCCUGCCUCUGGGCUCACCUUGUCAGUCAGCUUUCCCUAAAGGCCAGGGAGCGGUGUCUCUCUGUGUGUAAGGUCCGGGGCAGUGGAUUUGCUUAUGUGAUGCCAAGCCUACAGGUCAGAAUGCACGGAGGAUUUUGAACUCAGUAUUGAACUCAGUAUUGGUAUUGGUAUUGAACUCAGACCCUGAUUAGUGAGGGAAGUCUUUCCCAUAUAAGUGUUUUGGAUGGAGACAAACUAAUUCAUGCAUGUGGAACUAUCUACCCAAAGCCAUCAGGGACUAUGACCACAGUGUAGGGAGUUGAGGGGAGCCUAGGAGAUGGAAAGCCGCCUCUUAAGAACUCUUAAGUUUCUGUAGUUUCUCUGUAGAACAUAUAUUUUUCAAUUUGUACAACAGGCAUUUAUUGAGCACUUGCUCUAUCCUAGGCACUAGGGACGAGCAACCACCUGUAAGACCAACAGAAAUCUUGGUCCUCACAUAAGUCACAUUCUAGGGGCCCUUGUUACUGGGGGUAGGUGUGCAGGUGAAAAAAGAGUGACAGCAAGAAAUUUUCAUACCAAGAACUUCAAAAUGACUGUAAUCACUUGUAAAUAUACCUGCUUAUUUAUUUCCUGCCCUCUCUCUGACACAAUGCACACCCCACUGAGAAGACAUUGAGAAGACAUUUUCCAGCAGAUCCUCUCAUACUCAGACACGCUCACGAAUCACCCAGUUGGUGUCAGGACCCCAUCAAGUAACUUUAGGGUCUUCCAGGGAAGUGCAGACUGGAGCCCUGGUAGAGAAGCUUGAACUGUGACCAAGGGUUUUCACUUUAUUAUCCUGUCUCAAUUCUCCUUCGCAGUGCCUCGCAUCAACAGAGUUCCUCUCCCUUGGGUCCCCUUCUUUCCUCUAAAUUCUUCUUUACUCUAAGUGGUUGUGGGUUUUCUUGGGGGAAGAUGAGACCGUGCCUUGGAAUGAUGAGUCUCAGUCCUUUGCAGCAGGACACAGCCGCAGGAGUGUGAAUCCAGGCCAGUGAUUUCAGUGGUGGAUUCAAACCAAGUCUUCACCUGAAGGCGGUGAACUGAAAACAGUGCAGAAAUGCUUAAUUGAUUUCUGUAUCUUCCUUUGAACUCAAGCAGAUGUGUCAGGCAGAUGUGUUCCCAGCUGGAGCCACAGAUACACGUUAAGACACCACACUAGCAGUUUGCUAUUGUAGAAUUAUCCACAUUGUAGUUCCAGUCAUAACAGGCUUAUCAGGCUUUUUGUGACCACUGCUAACUCUGUUUCUGGAGGAGGGGGAGAGGGAGCCCUCACCUGUCCUGCACCACCAACAAUGCGUGGGGCUCUUGGUCAGUGGGAGAAGGGAGCGAGUCGAGAGAGCCACCUGGCAGCCUCCAUUGUGGAUGACGCUUCUCGGUCUCCUUGGUAACACGGCACAGGUGUGUGCCUUUUAAGCACCCUCCUUGAGAAGAUCCAGAGCUGCUUCAUGUUUUCCCCUCAGGGAUAAGCAUGGUCAUUUCCUCUCUGUGUUUGGGACCAGCACAGGAAGUCCCCGGUGGCACUAAGCAUGGUGAUGUUGGCAGCGGCAUGCACGGGAGAGGACCUUUCUGGGUCUGCUCUGGAGUAGGAGGUCCUCAGUCCUUCAGACUCUGCUUCAGCUCAUCCCCGCCUGAGAAGCACUCCCGUGGCUCUGCCUGCCGUGUGACGGCUUGCCAUCUGAGAGCCAGCAGAAACCCUGCAGUUUUAGUUGUAUGACAGCCCAACCGGGGCAUGGCACACUUUGUACAUCUCCAAUUACUUGCAAGACUCUGAGCAUGGUGUCCAGGAAUGUGAUGUUGGGCCAGCCAUACAGGAGGCUGCGUCCCUGGAAUCGGGACCAGCCUCACCCCUGGCACACUCACGUUUCUUUCGGGCAGCGAGGCCAGCAGUCCGUCCAUGCUUAGCUCUGCCGCACACCCAUUGCGUGGAGCUGCUGCCCGGGAGAGAGGCUUGGCUUGCAAAUGGCUUGUUCAAGUCAGUGACUCACAGAUGACGUUGGAGCACAAAAAGAUCUUCAUCUAAAGCCAGUGAAGUUUUCCAUAAGCUUUCAGGGAAAAAAAGAUCAGACUGGCAGCCUCCAUUUAUUGAUUUAUUGAUUGAGAUUAUCUGGGAGAGGGGAAUUUGUUGAUUGAAAACCAUUACUAACUGAAAACAAUAUCCCCCCUUUUCACCUUUUUAAAAAAUCUACAGUCAAAAAUUAUCUGACUAUGGUGCAGACGGCCACAAUCUUAGACCCACUGGAAUAGCAGUGUAGAUAUUAGGAGAUGUCCCUGUAUUCUCUCAUAGAUGUCCAACCCUAAGCUUAUUGAGACAAUGGAAUGAGUCUGUCUGGUCCUGUUAGAGCAGGAAUUAGGACAGAAUUUAGGCCCUGAUUGCCUGACUUUUUCAUUCCCUGGAAAUGAGCAGCUUAAAGAAAGACCUCCAAAGGUUGCUCAAGUUCAGUUAGAAUGCUGUGCUCUUCAGAAGGCUAAGGCAAUCAGAGCUUUGUGUCUCACUUUCCCUGUUCUGACAGCUCCGGCUGGGUCUCUGAUGCCACUUUCACUUCAGAAUCAGAGGGAGAGUGGAGAGGAAUGUGAUGCUGUUGCCCACACACACUCGUGCCAGCGAUACUCGUUUGAUUUCCUGCUUAUAGAUGCAGGAGCCAACCCAUGACUGCAUCUUCAGAGGGAGAUUAAACAUUGAUUAAUCAACCCUGAAAAAAACCCAAAAAACAAAAGGAGAACGUUGUAGCUGCAUUAAAAUGGGAAAAGGAGCUGACUGCAAGCUCUUUUGAUCCUAGUUCUCAGUCUUCAUAUCAUAAACAUUUAGUAUACUCAUGCAGUGGCAGACGUUGCUAGGUUCUCAGGAUAAAAAAAGAGAGACACUGAAGUCCCCACCCUUUCCAGGUCAGGGCAGGGCUUGCGGAGAGACAGAGUCAGCUUCGGCUUGAAGGGUGAUUGGGCUUUUCGAAGUGAGGAGGGAGGAAGGCAUCCUCAGCAGACAGCCGCCCAGACAGAGCAAAGUGGUCUCUGAGGCUUCUGAAGGUUGAGGGCAGAUCCGCUGCUGAAUUGUUGGGAAGGGCCAGGCCAGAGAGGCUGGGGACUUCGGAAUUUACCAGCCAUUCACGUCUGUUUGGGUUUUCUUUUGUUUGUUUUCUCCCAGUACGUAUAUGCUGGUGUCACAUACCUCUGAGAUUUGUCUAAAUAUGAUGUUGGUGAUAAAGGCAGGCAUUACUACUCUGUGUGAUGUUCAUAACCGUGAGGAAUACACUCAUCAGAGUAAGUCACUUCCCAUCUUGGGCUCUGUGAGAUGAUCUUUGGGUUGGGUGUGAUAUCCAUAGUAUUUAUUUGUAACCAGGUACCUUUUUCUCCUACUGAUGACUAUCUAAAUCCAAGAAGGUGAUUUUUUUGUGUCGACAUUCUUGUGAUUGCUCUUCUGCAAGUCUAGUUACAGAAAGUUUCUCGGUUACAAAACCAUGGCAAGCAGAGUAUUAUGGACAUAGUAGUAUUCUCUGUAAUUAUUUAAGAAAGUUAACUUAAACUAUCCCAUGAUUCAUCCAAAUUGAACAUGUUUUUCGAGACUCUAACAAGUCAAACAGGAUACCAUCUCCAGAGACAGGACAAAGGAUCACGUGAUUAAAACAGCAAGAUGGAAGGUUGUUUGGUGAGCCACGGGAGCACAUCUAAGCAAAAUUAACCCCAGGGAUCUUAUAGGCAGAAUUGGAGCUAUGCCAGUGAUGGAAAUGAGGCUCCGCCUUGUAUCAUGCUGUGAUGAAUGCUGAUUUCCCAGAGUGCAGGAAAAAACCCACCAUCUAAUUCGGCCCUGUGUAACUAGGAACUUUCAUCUGUAAAGAAACUUUCAUUUUCCUUCUUAGGCUAUAAACUUUUCAUAGGUAGGAACUCUGCAGAGUACCUAACUUGUUCAUUUUCUUUUUUCUUUUCCCAUUAAGUUUAUUGGCACAUUUUCGGUAUAAAAUACUGUUACAUUCAUCAUUGAGAUCUUGUACCUUUACUUGAGUAUCUUGAUUCUUAUUUUUUCCCCUUCUCUUGCCCACCCUUCCCUAUUUGCAAAGACCUUGUUUCCAUUUUUUUCUCUUUUCUCAUAUUUUUACUUUUCCCUUUUUUCCCUUCCCCUACCCCUCCUACUUCCCCUGCACCUUUGGACCUUUUCUUCCUUUUACACAAUAUCAAUUAUACAUUUGUUAAAUUACAAUAUCAAGAUCUAGGAGACAUUACCACAGAUUUUACAGAAUUUAAAAGGAUAUAGAAAGCAUAUUUCAAAAAUCUUUUUUGAAAUAAAUUUGACAACUUUUAAGAAGUACCUUGGAAGACAAAUUAAUGAAACUAACUCUGGAGGAAAUAUAAAAUUUGAAUAGCACCUAUUAAAGAAAGUAUAUUCCUGGCUUGAAAACCUACCUAUAUGACAACAGCAGGCUCAUAUACAUUUUAACUGAUAAAUUAUAUCAAACAAUUAAAGCAGAAAAAGGAAGGAACACUUCUCUCCUCAUUUUAGGAACUCAACAUUGUGUUAAUCCUAAAACUGGAUAAAGAUAAUAGAAGAAAAAGUAUGAACAUAGAUAGAAAUUUGUUUAACAAAACAAACUAUUGGAAGUCAGAUCUGGCAGGAUAUAGAAAGUGGUUUUGUUAUAGGGAUGGCAGUGUUGGUUCAGCAUUGGAAGAUCCACCCCUAAAAGUCAUCAUUUUAACAGAGGAAAGGAAAAAGCCAUAUGAUCCUGUCACUAGUUGGAGAAAAAGUAUUGGACUAAAUUCUACAGCUGUUCAUGGUAAAAGCUAUCAGGAGACUAGAGGUAGAACAGAACCUUCUCAACAGAUUAAAGACCUGUACUCCAUACUUCCAGUGAGAAUGCCUUAUAUGAAUGGAGAAGAUACAAUGCUUUCUCCUUAAGGUGGGGAACAAAGGCAGAUAUGCUUACUCUUUAUCUGUCCAUUAAACUUUGAAACCUAGGCCCCACCAAAAUAGUCUGGCAAUAAAAUGAUACAAUUAGGAUAGGAUUGGCAAGGUAGAAGCAAAAUCUUUAUAUGUAGAUGAAAUGAUCAUCUACAGAGAAAAUACUAAUAAAUCUCUGGGAGCCCCUAGAACUUGUAUUUGAAUUUAGCAGGAUUAGAAAACACAAGGUAUAUAUAAAAAUUCAGGUCUGUGUAUACUUGCUAUAAAUGAAGAAUUGGAUAUUGAAAUUUAAAAGUUAUGUAGGAGUACAAAGGACCUAGAACAGUUUAAAAAAAACACAAAAAAACAAAAACAGUGUUGGAAGACGUUUAGUACCUAAUUUUAAGACUUCUUCUAAAGCUACAGUAAUCAAGGCAGUGUUGGUGUAAGGAAAGACAUAUAGAUCAUUGGAAUAAAACAGAGAAUCUAGAAAUAGAACCACACAUAUAUGGUCCACUGAGUUUUGAAAGAUUAUUCAACAUUAGCAUUUUAUAGAAUAUAAACUCAAUUCAAGAGCCGAGGAAGAGAUAGUGUUUUCAGCAAACGGCACUAGAACACCUGGUAUCCGUAUAUAAAAAAUUAACCUCAACCCUUUAUUUCCAUACAUGAAAAUAACUUGAAGGGAUCUAUGAACCGAAAUAUGAAAGCCUAAAAGUAUAAAACUUUAAGAAGAAAUUAUAAGGGAAAAUGUUUAUGAAUUCAGGGUAGGCAAGAACUACCUAGGAUACAAAAGACAUGAUGUAUAAAAGAAAAAAAUUGAUCAAUGAGAUUCCAUCAAAAUUUAGAACUUUAAAUGACAUCAUUAAAAUGAAAAGUAGUCCUUAAACAGACCAUAUUUACAAUGCAUAUAACCUAGGACCAGAAUAUAUAAAGAAUUCUUAGAGCUCAUUAAUAGACAACCCAAUGAAAAAGUAGACAUAAGAAGAUGAUAAAUAGCCAGUACAGCACAAGGAAAGGUGUGCAACUCUAGAAUCAGAAAAAUACUAAUCAGUACAAUAACAAGAUUGAAUUAUACACUCAUUAGAGAGAUGAAGUUAAAAGUUUUAAAAGUCUUGUCAUGACUUUUUCUUUUUGCUGGAUUCUCCCCCUUUGAGUUUAAUUUGUCACACCCAAUGGAUUCAUUCCACUGGGCUUCCUGGGGUUGUGAUCCUCAUUGUCUUUUCCUAGGGUGUUGUCUAAAAUUGUUUGGAGUGCCGGGUUGAUAUUUAUGAAGUUCCUGAGGUGCUCUUUAUCACGAAAGUAUCUUAUUUCUCCAUCGAUUUUGAAAGAUAGUUUUGCAGGGUACAUCAAUCUGGGUUGGAGGCUGUUUUCCUUUAGGGCUUGAAAUACAUCACUCCAAGCUCUUCUUUGAGGGUUUGCGUUGAGAAGUCUGCUGUGAUUCUGAUGGGCUUUCCUUUUUAUGUGAUUUGUUUCUUUUCUCUCACUGCUUAUAGAAUUUUGUUCUUCUGUUGGAUUUCUGGAAUCCUAACUAUUAUAUGCCUAUGUGUAGAUUUUUUUUGAUGAAGGCUAGCUGGAGUCCUAUAUGCCUCACUUAUCUGUAUGUCAAGUUCUUUUCCCCUCCUUGGGAAGUUUUCUGCCAUCACUUCUGUGAAGAGUUUUUUUUUAUGUCAUCUGCACUCUUUCCUCUUUCUUCAUUGACUCCAAUCAGUCUUAUGUUAUUCUUCUUUGCAUUGCCUAGCAGCUACUGGAUUGAUUUCUUGUGUUCCUUUACAAUUUUAAAGCAAUUUUUCUUUUCCUGGUCACUAAUUGCAAUCUUUUCUACUAUAUCUGAAAUUCUAACCUCAUAUUGGUUCAUUCUGCUGCACAGACUUUCGAUGGAGUUUUUAAUCACCUGGAAAUCUGUUUGUAUCUAUCUGUUUUAUGGAUUCCAUUUGUUUCCUAUGUUGGGAUUCCAUCAUGUUCCUCAGAUCCUCUAUUUUUUUAUCUGUGUCCUCUCUAGAUUUAUUAAUCAUGUCUUGCACCAUGAGCAAAAUCUUUGCUGUUAUCUGAGUAAUUAUUUCUGAUUUCAUUUUUCCCAGAUCCUCUUUUGUUGCCAGUUCGGAGAAUCCAGGUGGUUGAGUAUCAGAUUGUUCCAUCUCGUUUCCCUUUGGGAUUGCUGUAGGUGAUCCAGAAGUCUGUUUUUGAAGCUUGUUUAUGUGUCUUCUCAUUUCCACGGUGCGGGGGGAGGUGCUUUUGGUGCCUGUGCAGCUCACCUUCUCUGUCCUAGGAGCUUGGGAUGGUGGCAGGGGAGCUUCCUUCGGGGUGCUGGGACUGGCUCAGCUUCUCUCUCAUUUUCUUUUUAAUAUUGAAGAUUUUAAUAAAAACAUUGGCUGUCCAGGGCUGAAUGAAAAAAAAAAGAAAGAAAGAAAGUUUGUCAAGUGAGCCUCCAUCAGUGGGGAGCAGGUGCUGCCUGCCUGAGUUGUAGCUCCUGCCAGGACCACACUGAGAACCUCUGUAGAUGGAUGAGGCCCAGGCUGGGCUGUGAAAAGCCAGUCUAGAAGCAGUAGGGAGGAUGGCCUGGGGAGGUGGCAGUAGGGAAGGGAAGCAGUUCUGGGAGCUCCUGUGGUAAUACUGACUCAAGGCCCAAGGGUAUGGACAGGGAGUGGAAGCCUAGAGGAAGGCUGGCACUCAGGCUGUGAGGCCCAUCACAGCUUCAACCCAAGGCACAAGCUCCAGUGAGGAGGGUCCCUGGCUCUGGUCGGGCAUCCAAGUUGCUUGGGUGAAGUUGUGGCCAGUCAGGAAAACAGGAUCCAUUUCCACAGUCAGAGCUCAUGAGAGUCAUCAUUUGUCCUGAGCUUCACAUUCCUGUGAGGUUUCCUGGUAUCUUGAACUCCAGGGAAUCACCAAUAACAUGAACUCUGCUUUGGGUGUGGUACAAUUUGAUCCAGGAGAAAUAGACAAGAAGAUUCCCAAGGUCAGAGUCCUGCAGACAUUUGAGAGAGGAAGGAGAUAGAAGGGGUGGCAAGACAGCUGAAGUUGUGGUCAGCAAGACCUGGAGAGGCCUGAAGAGAGUAGUGUCAAAGAAAUGUUUGCCAAGAGGAUGUUCCUGGAAGUAGGCUGAGUGUCGAGUCCUGUGUGAGGAGAGUGGUUCCUUGGAGAAGCAAACAAGGACUUAGGGGAAGGUGACAGGGCUUGUGAGCCAUUGGUGGUGAUGAAAACAAGAGAGAUAAGGCAGACUGAGCUUGGAUGUAGAGAUGGGGCUGCAGGAAUUGGGGGUAUAGGAGAUGGGAGAAUCUGAGCACAUCCCUGAGCUUGUGCUGCCCUCUGCAAAGCCUGGCAGAGUCCUAGUCUCCCUGUGAGUUGCCUGGCAUUGCCAUGCUCAUCUGUCCUAGCAUGAAAGGCUCACGAAAGUGAGUGUGGUUCUGUGUUUGCAUCUUGGUUUUAUGCUAGGAAAUCUGAGAGAAUAAAAGGUACCGAGAUAUUCUCAACCUGCCCAUCCUGCAACAAGGAAGGCUGGACUUACGUUGUCUUUUUUUUAAGAGAAAGACCUCUAAGACUAUAGAAUUCUACAGUUCAAACACUUGUUUUCUUUUAUAUUUAUAGUAGUGUUAAAAUUUAACAUACCCAGUCUUCUUCCUUGUCAAGGAGUUUUUGGCUAUUUCUGAAAUAUAAAUCAUAUUUGGAAAGUUAAUCAUCUUGGGCAUGGACUGAACUUCUGGAAAGUGUGGGGCACCCUCUUCUGUUAUUGGAUAGGCUGUCAGUAUUACAGGUGCCCUUUGGAAGAUCUAUAUAACUUAUAUUUGUCACCUUCCCAUUUCUAUAAUGAAAUAUUUGAAGCAGUUGACUCAUAAAGAGAAAAGACUCAUGGUUCUGGAAGGUCCAGUCCAAGUUCAAGUGGCCCCAUCCUUUGUCACAAGGAUGACACAUCAUAGCAGGAGUGUGUGGAGAGAAAUCCACUCAUAUCAUGACAAGAGAGCAAAAAAAAAGAAGGAGAAAUAAACAGGCCAACGUUCCACAAUCUCCUUCAAGGACAUGCCCCCAGUGAUCUAAAGACCUCCCUUAAGGUCCCACCUCCUAAUGGUUAGGAGACUUCAAAUAGAGCUGCCAUGGGGACCAGACCUUUAACACAAAGACUGCUGUAGGACAUUAGGCAUUCUAAUUUCAGCACCUGCUAUGAAAACAAAUUUAACUGGAAAUCUAUACUUGUCAUGUCUUACCCUGUAUCAAAUAUUGUACUUUGGAUCGAUGACUUUCAUUCAGGUAGGGUAAAGCAAAUAUUUCCAAUUUGAAAUACUUAAGAUGACACUGAUAAUAGAUAAAGCAUAGUUAUAGUUAAGUAGCCUAUUUUCCAAUGGAUAAUUAUCCAGGUCAUUACAUAUAUCAGUAGUUUGCUGUUUUAUAGUGCUGAGUAUUAUUCGAGUCAUGUUUCAUGGUAUGGGUGUGGACGUACCACAGGGAAGACUAGAUUGAGGAUUUUUUGCAUUGGCCUGUAAAUGUCCAAUUGCUCUACCAAUAUUGAUUGAAAGGUACAAAAAUCAGUGGAGCAUGUUUGUGAGGGGCCUAGCUCUGGUUUUUUAAUUCUACACCAUUGCUCUAUGUUAUGUGUUCAGCCCUUCAUCAACACUAACUAUUACUCUAGCUAUAGAAUAGGCCUUAACAUGGGAUGGAUUGAUUCCUCUCUAUUCUUUCUCAAGGUUGUUUUAGCUAUUCUAGGGUCUAUGUCUUUACAUAUUAAUUUUAUCAUAAGCUUGUCUUUAUCUGCCAAAAAUCCUUACAAAGUUUUGGUAGGAUUUACAUUAAACAUUAAUCAAUUUGGGGAGAAUUGAUAUCUUUACUAUGUUGGCUCUUCUAAUUCAUGAACAUAGUAUGUGUGAAUGUUUAUUUAUUGGAACCAUUUUAGAGUUUUUAAGUCAGCAUUUUGUAAUAUCAGCAUAUAGAUCCUGCAUGUGGUUAGCUGAAUUUAUAUCCCCAUAUUUUCUUCAGAAUGAUUCUAAAUUGUAUUGCUUUUAAAUUUUGAUUUCAUUAAUAGUAUACAAUAGGUGACAGAAAAAUGAAUGCAAUCUCUCCUAGAAAACAUAUAAUAAACAGUUCCUAAAUUAGUGCAUGCAGAUUAGAAUGCAUAAUAAAGUUGUGUAAUGAACAGUUACUAAAAAGAAUAGUACAAUAUGCUGUAAUACUAGUAUUAAAUGCUAGUAGUAUUAAAUGAUAGCAAAUGUGAAAUAGUUACUUAUCAACUAUCUUGGAAAUGUCUAAGUCUAGUACAAGUCUAGUUCUGAUUUCUAAUUUUAGUUCACGAUGUAUGGUUUUUAUAUCAUGUCAUUUUGUGAGUAUGGCCGAAGUUAUUUGAGUUGGGUGGGUAGCAAAAAAAUGUCGCUAGGUGUUUCAGUGUUUUGCACAGGUGGAAUUAAAUGGGAUUCAGAAAUUCAAAGCCCAAAAGGUAAGCAAAAGAAGGGACUAAGAAGAGUGAUCCUGUUCAUCUCCAGUCCACGUCAGCCUGGGAAACUUGGGUUGUCACAGGGGAGCAGCACAUGAUAGUCUAAGAGGCACACAAAAGUCAUCAGAUGUGUUUAUUUUGUGGCAGUGAAUCUUUUUUUUUUUUUUAGAAAAACUGCAUUAUCGUGGUAACCGUGAUUCAUUUUCUUCCUCCUGCCUUUUCCCAGAUAGUCAACAGUUUGACAUUCAUUUUUAUUUACUUUUACCCUGCUUUACUGGAGAAAGAGUUUUAAAAAACUCACAUAAAAACAUUCAUGAGAGAGAAAUUUUAAUGAGGGAAAGCCAAGUUGAGAAACGGGAAAAUAGGAUGAGGACCAGGGCUGAGAUUUGGGGGUAGCUGUCAGGCUGAGGAGUUUUGUUUGUUUGUCCUGUUGAACUGGGUAAAAAAUUUGACUUGGAUGAAUUGUUUUUAACCCUUGCACAAAAUAGACAUAAAGCCAGUGUCUAAUUAUCAUGCCCGCUCAGUAUCUGUCAUCUUUUCAUUAUACCAUGAUAAUGGCACAUAUUUAUGGGGGCGGUGUGAUGUUUCCAUCCAUGUAUAUAUUGUAGAGCAAGCAAAUCAGGAUACUCCUGCUCCAUCAUCUCAAACACCUAUCCUUUCUUUGUGGUCAGAACAUUCAGAAUCCUCUCUCCCAAGCUACUUGGAAAUACACAACUCAGUAUUGCCACUCUUGCACCCGGCCCCAGGGUGCUGGCUUAGGGGCAGGUUUGUCCUGGAGAGGUAGUCAGUGACGGGAAUCUGAGCCUGCUUUAGGAGGCCUCCCCUGCUGCCUGCUGCAGCUGGUGGUCCAGGAGCAGCAACACGUGGAGGCCCAGCACCCAGAGGCCCACAGCACAGCAGUGUGUGCUCCAGCACAGGCCUUAGUGAGCUUGAAGUUCAGGCUCAGGGUCAUUCUUGAUAACAACAGGGCCACCUACCAUUGUAAGUACUUUUGUAAAUGGAAUGUUUUUGUAAUAUUUAGUUUUAAUGUUUAAAAAAUGUAAAGGGCCUUUUAAGAAAUACAACUUAGUUAGGGCUCGUUUGGUUUUGAAGUGAAAUGAAUGACCUGAAAGCCAUAGGAAGAUAGACCUUCCCUGUCUUGAUUUAUCCUUGCCCGUUGAGAGAUCUUCAGUUCAGUUUGGUUUUGAGAUAAGAUACUUGUGCUGUUUCAGAGCACUUCCAGCACAAUUGUUUCUUCUGAUGAUUAAUUGUCCUAUAGUUAUUGGAAGUAGUUAAGAAAUCCAUAGGCAUCUACACAUUUGUAAACCUGUAAAGAGAGAUGUGCCAUUACAGCACGCUGCUUCAUAUAUGUGCUGUAUACAUACAGCUGAUGUUUCCCUGGGGUGUUCAGAACCUCAGCUUUAUCAGUGAUAGUGGGUUCUGUCUUUUAAUCUACGCAGUAGAGUUAGAGAUCCAUUUGCCUGUCCACUUCUGUGUUGCUGUAGCCUGCUCAGGAGUCUGCUGUUGUAUGUUUAAUUCCUAUAAAGCCAACUGAAAGACAAUGUGCACAAUUGACUGCAUUCAAAGUGGCUGCAGGCCAGACCUAUUGCAACAGCUGACGGGCUCCCGUGAGCUCCAGGAGCUAUUUCUGGUAGAUUAGCUGGUAUCACAGCUCUGGAGUUCAGGCCAUAAAAGGCUGGUCAUAUCUGGAGUUGCCACAUUUGCCUCUGACCCGGCCUGGGCUGAAGCUCCUCAGGUUUCAGUGGAUUUACCCAGGAAUGGACGGCCCUCCCAGCCCCAGACUGAGGAACCCCAGCCUCGAGGACUCCGGAGGACUCACGGCUUCAACGAGAAGACUCUUUUUAUUAUUCUCUUGGCAUUCUUUAUUCAGAGGAACUUUUGGGAUGUAGCCUUUACCUGUUUCCCAAAUCUGGCCUCUUGGAAAGCACCAUUCUAUAUUUAUCCAAUUCUGAAUCAUCCCUUUCAGUAGAUGCAGUUGCUCCUGCUUGCAUUGUGAUGUUGGAUUUUGUGCAGCAUUACUUGGGCUAACUUUGGAUAUUUUACUUUUUGUUUAAAAUUUGAAAGUAGUAUUCAUUGAGAAGAGACUCUACUAAAAUACUCAAGGACUUCCAAAGCUGGAUUAGAGGAUAUAGUCUGUUUUAUUUUUUAAUUAGAAAAAUAAGGAAUUGUCGUGUGGUUUCCCUUCCCCCUUUCACUUAGAGGAACAAGGAUUAUACAGAAAUUUGAAGUAAGUGAAAACUAUUCCUAUAAAUCUAAAUGCAAUUUUUUUAAGUGCCACCUGCCUGAGCAUGCUUCCUAGGAAUCUGUUUACUUCAAGCACUGGAAUGUUCCUGCCGGUACUGUAUUUGCUAGUCACUGCCAUUACUUCUAGAGACACCCUUGGGCAUAUUUUGGAGGUAAAGAAAGAUUGGAUUUUUUUUUUCCUUAAAAACAAAAGGACUUACUUUACCAUACACAGAGGUCUGUUGCUAACAGUUUGAUUAGAAUAACUUAGUAAGUACAUUCUAAAUUUUAUCACUUGAAUUCUUGGGAUUGAAGUAUAUUCACAAUACAAUGCAUUUUAAUCAUUUCACAAGUAUGGGGGUGGAGUCCAAAGGGUAAGCUUAGGUAAUUCCUUUCAUUAUUUAUUACCAAUUAUUGAUUGCUUGUUUGUUUGUGGUGCUGGGUAUGGACCAGAGCUGGAGGUGUGUUAGGCAUGUCCUCUACUGCUGAGCUCCACCCCGCCCUCCUUCCUUUAUGUGGAAAUGAAAAUCACUCGUGAUCUUUUUUGUGUACCUGUAUUUUGAUGAUUCUUUGCCUUGCUGCUCUGAUUCCUUAGGCUUGAUUUAUAGAACUUCUUUGUUCUUGAAUUUUAAAGAAAAAUCUAGGUUCUAGGUUUUGAAUUGUAAUUUGUCUUAAAAUUCUCCAAGAAAAAAGUUCAGUGUCAGCCUUCUUAAUCCCUAGGGAUAGCUGUGAUCUCUUCGUAAUUUAGCUUGGCAAUUUGGUGUUGAAAAAUAGCAUUGAGCUCUAGGACAUUUAAGGUUUAUUUGACAUAAUUCUUUUUGUUCAUACCAUAUCAGAUGAACAAGUAUGGGUAGUAAUUAUUUUUAUCACACAGAAAAACAGCAUAUUUAUAGAGAAGGACAUCAUCGGUGAAUACUGCAGCUCUGCAGUGGAAGUUGUACUGAAACCCUAGGGGGCAUGAGGAAAUGCUAGGGGUGGGGUGUAGAUUCCCCAGUAUCUGCUGCUGGACUUUGGAAGGAUGCAAUUUGCAUGCUAUAUGUAAAUAUGUACAGGAUUACUCUGGCCAAAAUGCUGACGUUACCCACACUGAAGAAAAUUGAAGGGUAUACAUUAUACUCUUGACCUCCAUAGAGAAGGGAAUGCUAGGCACACUGGGGCUGCUCAUCCCUGAGCCAGGUGGGCUCUGGAGGAGCCAUGAGGUUGAAUGUCCUGCAGGGAAUUAAUCCUCCUUGUCACUGCUGAAGAUGCAUGGAGGAGAUGCAGGUGAGCGGAGAGCAAGACAGUGCUGGUUAGCCAACCCUCAGGGAAAACUUUUUUGAGAUUAUUAAGCUGUUACUGAGAGCAUUAUCUUCAAAGUAAAUUUUAGUUAAAGUACCCAACUCACGGGGGACAUCCUUCUUUCAUCCAACACUUCCUUAUCUUUGCUUGUACUUUUUGAGACUGUUUCUUGCUAGCCAGACGUCUGGAAGACUUUGAAUCUCAGUCCAAAAUGAACAUCUUUAGCCACUUCUGGGGACUUUAAUAGUCUGCAAUGAGAACUUGUUUGCAAGGGGCAAGGCCUUUGGAAAAUUUCACCAGGAUGCCCAGUGAGCUACAGCCUGCAAGGGCUGUGGGUCACAUGCAGGCUUGGGGGAGGUGUUGAUAAGAAGUCAUCUCGCCUCCCAGAACCCUUAGGACAUUCAUUGCAGCUUUAUAUUUUCUAUGUUAUAUCAUGAUCUCUUGAGUGUCUCUCUGUGACCAGGAGUAUCCUGCGCUCUGGAGCUUUCUGGCAGUUCCAGCUUGCUUGUUUGCAAUUGAAUCAAGAGCCUUGACACCCUUGACUCCUCUCUGCAGGUCUCCAGGCCGCUGUGUCUGUCUCUGACACGAUGCCCCAGCCGCACCACCUCUUGCCAAGCUUUGGCAUCUCUCACUUGAGUUAUUGCUUUGCCCUUAAUGUUGUGCCCAGAUUCUCCUGUGUGCAGUCUGUCUUUAGAACGGUCUUCCUAAACAAAGAUGUGGUCAUGUCGCUCCUCAAAUACUUGUCUCCUAAGUCCCCACUGCUUCCAUGCCAAAACCCCAACUGCUUAGCUUCAUCUGCAGGGUCUGUCACGACACUGUGCUUUGCUGGCAGCCCUCCCUGAAGUCCUCUGCCCUCCCUUCCCUGCCAGGGAAGUGCUAGCUCUUGAGGUUCUCCCGGAAGUUUCAUCUGCCUCUGGCCCCUGGGCCUUGACCCCAGCCUGAACUGGGGACCCUUGGCAUAGCAUGUGGAUUGUCCCUUGCUUUGUAGGGUGUGCCCAGUGAGGCAUCUGGAUCUCAGCCCUCUUGCCAUCCUACCCAAUGGGAACUCCACAAAUCUGAGUUAAUUGAACUGAAUCAGAUUGUAAUAUAAUGAUGUCUGGGUUCUUUAGACCGAACUUUGGCUGUUUUCCCUCACAUACUUUCCCAUAUUGUGCAGGGUUCACUGGAGAGGCAAGUGGCUGUAUUCUGUGCUCUAUGUUCUUUUUCUCAUACCUAAUAACACAAGCAGAAAGACUUGGCAUACUGAAACAAGUCUGUCGGGCUUUCUGCACGCAGGUUUUUGCCAGCACAGGAAAUUGAGGUGUGUUCGGUGAAGUCAGCCCCUUCAUCACUGGAGCUUUCCCUGAGCUGAAGAGACUUGCCUGGGUGCAUGACCCGGGGAGUCUCGAGUGCCCGGUUUCAUCUCUGGUAACACCUCUCAGGAGAGCUUGCAUGGCUGACCUUGGGACAGCAGUACCUUGAUGUGGUUCAGAAAGGCCUCUGUCCCUCGGGGAGCCUCUCCAUUGAGGGAGGGUUUGAAAGAGGCACAUACUUUGUCACAUUGCUUGCUUAUUCUCUUUUGAAAGCUGAUCUAUUAAUUCCCCACAAGUUCAUAACCUGUGUCUAACAAACAGGUUUUUGUGUAAAGACAGUAAGAGACAUAGUUUGGAUAUUUGCUUUGAGCUCCUUUAUUUACCCUUGUCAGCCCAGGAUUUGUUCAUUUCAGCACAUAUUUCUUGCACUUCACCUGCACAAAGCUCUGGGUUGAAUGCUGUGGAAUAAAGCAAGCUCCUUUGUCCUGGGUGACUUCACUGUGGAGGGGCACCCUGGACACCAUGAAGCACUCACAUCUCUCAGGCUGGAGGUGGCACACAGUAAUUAUGUGCUCAACGUCAUGACCGCAUGCGGGACUCCAUGCCAUGCCAUUAAGUUUGCCCAGGCUGCACUCAAACUGUGACCUGAUCCCCUUGCCUCAGCCACUCAAGUAGCUGGGAUUGCAGGCAUCACCUUGAUGCUUGGCUUUUGGGGCCCUUAUCUCUGCGUUACAUCAUGUAAUUUCCAUAAAGGUCCUGAGAAAUGUUAGUAUCACUAUGCCUGAGUGCUGAGGGAACAAAAUUGAAGCUCAGAGAAGCUUACACCAGGGCAUGUACCAUGGAAUCAGGGAGAGUUGGAUUUGAACCCAGAUCUCUGACUUUACUGUCCAUUUUCAUAACCGUUGCAACUCAAGUUGUAAAAGCAAUCGCCAGCUGUCUUAGUCCAUUUUCUGAGACCAGAUAAUUUAUAACUGAUCUCUUACAGUUCUGCAGGCUGGGAAGCCCAGCACUGAGGGGCUGCACCAGGUGAGGGCCUCCUUGCUGUUGAGAGCUGGGUGAGUCCCCAAGGUGACACAGGUACUCACCUGGAAAGACCGACCAGUGUGCUGGAGGCAGCAUGCUCACCACAAACCACUCCCUUGAGAGCCCCCUAAUCUGUUCACCCUAAAUAGGUUGACCCAUUGAGGAGGGUGGAGCCCUCAUGACCGAAUCCCUCCCCAAGACGCCCUCUAAAUGCCACCGAUAACACGUGACUGCGGACUGAGUUUCCAGCACAUGAAACCUGGGGGGGACACACAAACUGUAUCACCUGCCACCUUGACUGCGCGGCUUCCAACUCGCCGGUCUGGUGCAGGGCUGAGAUUCCCUAAGCAAAUCCAGGUGCUGGGGCUGGGGGAGAGCCCGGUGGGAGAGAGCCUGCCCGUGGGUGGUUUCCAUCUCCGCACCGCAAACUUCGACAGCAGCAGCGCAAGAUUCAGAUGCUUCCGACUCCGGGUCUGAUGACCAUCUCUGAGCAGCACUGCCGUCAGCCCCUUCUGGCAGAACCAUGAGCAUGGAAGCAAGCGGCCGGGCUGCCGGGGGAGGAGGUGGGCUCCCGGGCCCACCUGUUUCUCUAUGGACUGUGUGCGCCUGGCCCUUUCCACUCUGCCUACAGGUUCAUCCCGGCUUCUCUGAUCUCAGCUUCAGCUUGCUCCUGGCUCCUUCUCCCCGUGUUGAAAACAUGCUCAAGUCUCCU
rnacentral:lncRNA from 1 species